GCGUUGUCCGGAAUUAUUGGGCGUAAAGAGCUCGUAGGCGGUCUGUCGCGUCGGAUGUGAAAAUCCAGGGCUCAACCCUGGACCUGCAUUCGAUACGGGCAGACUAGAGUUCGGUAGGGGAGACUGGAAUUCCUGGUGUAGCGGUGAAAUGCGCAGAUAUCAGGAGGAACACCGGUGGCGAAGGCGGGUCUCUGGGCCGAAACUGACGCUGAGGAGCGAAAGCGUG
rnacentral:rRNA from 1 species